AAAACCACGUGCACCAAACUUUAGGGGAGGAAAAAUGGGAACGUGGGGAGAAGACGUGAGGCGGCAGAUCUGAAAAAGAUGGUAGGUGGAGGGACCCCAGGGAUUCACCCUGGCCUCGGACUAAUCCUAUGGGGCGCUUGCAAACCCCGGCCAUCCCCUGGAGUCUGAAGGUUGCAGGAGCCCUGCUUCAGCCAGCUCAGGAGGAAAGUGAUCCAGAGAGAGGCCAUGUAAAGAGGGAAAUGUCCUCGCACUCAAACACAACCACCACGCAGCGCAGUUCCAUAGCCCCGCGGAGAGACAGGACAUUUUUCUGGAGCUGCUGGAGAGAACAGUCAGAGAAGCCUGGGGAGGAAGAGUUGAUGCCUUCUGGAGUUUCUUGUGGCGGGUGGUGGGUGGUGGGGGGAGCCCUUUCCGGGUGUCAACUUUUUCUUUCCUCUCUUCCCCCAGCUCCUGUUUUCAUCCUUACCAAUGAGAAUUCAGCUAAUUGUUUACUCCAGGCUUGUGCCUGUCACCAACUAACCCAGGAGGCCCUCAGAGCCAAGCCCUGCCCUUUGCCUCAUUCUUUGUAACUGGACACCUGCAAGAGUGCUGGGCACACAGUAGGUGCUCCAUAAAUGCUACUCAAAUGGAUAAGUAGGAUAAAUAAAUGCAGAGUUUGGUAGUUCAA
rnacentral:lncRNA from 1 species